rnacentral:rRNA from 1 species
GACGAACGCUGGCGGCGUGCUUAACACAUGCAAGUCGAACGGAAAGGCCCUGCUUUUGUGGGGUGCUCGAGUGGCGAACGGGUGAGUAACACGUGAGUAACCUGCCCUUGACUUUGGGAUAACUUCAGGAAACUGGGGCUAAUACCGGAUAGGAGCUCCUGCUGCAUGGUGGGGGUUGGAAAGUUUCGGCGGUUGGGGAUGGACUCGCGGCUUAUCAGCUUGUUGGUGGGGUAGUGGCUUACCAAGGCUUUGACGGGUAGCCGGCCUGAGAGGGUGACCGGCCACAUUGGGACUGAGGUACGCCCCAGACUCCUACGGGAGGCAGCAGUGGGGAAUAUUGCAGAAUGGGCGGAAGCCUGAUGCAGCAACGCCGCGUGCGGGAUGACGGCCUUCGGGUUGUAAACCGCUUUCGCCUGUGACGAAGCGUGAGUGACGGUAAUGGGUAAAGAAGCACCGGCUAACUACGUG